rnacentral:rRNA from 1 species
CCUACGGGAGGCAGCAGUGGGGGAUAUUGCACAAUGGGGGAAACCCUGAUGCAGCGACGCCGCGUGAGUGAAGAAGUAUUUCGGUAUGUAAAGCUCUAUUGGCAGGGAAGAAAAAAAUGACAGUACCUGACUAAGAAGCCCCGGCUAACUACGUGCCAGCAGCCGCGGUAAUACGCAGGGGGCAAGCGUUAUCCGGAUUUACUGGGUGUAAAGGGAGCGUAGACGGCUGAGCAAGUCAGAAGUGAAAGCCCGGGGCUCAACCCCGGGACUGCUUUUGAAACUGCGGAGCUGGAGUGCAGGAGAGG